UACGUAGGGGGCGAGCGUUGUCCGGAAUCAUUGGGCGUAAAGCGCGUGUAGGCGGUUCGGUAAGUCUGCUGUGAAAGUCCAGGGCUCAACCCUGGGAUGCCGGUGGAUACUGCCGAACUAGAGUGCGGAAGAGGCGAGUGGAAUUCCUGGUGUAGCGGUGAAAUGCGCAGAUAUCAGGAGGAACACCAAUGGCGAAGGCAGCUCGCUGGGACGGUACUGACGCUGAGACGCGAAAGCGUGGGGAGCAAACAGG
rnacentral:rRNA from 1 species